GUUUUCCAUAUAAAGAGUCGAACCUGCCCAGUGAUAGUAUUCAACGGCCGCGGUACUCUGACCGUGCAAAGGUAGCAUAAUCAUUUGCCCUAUAAUUGAGGGCUUGUAUGAAUGGUUUGACAAGAGCAAAACUGUCUCUCUAGAAUUUUUUAGAAUUUGGUUUUUAGGUGAAGAAACCUAAAUUUAAUUGAAAGACAAGAAGACCCUAUCGAGCUUAAAAUAAACUUACUAAAAAGUGUGACUGUAAUCAAUCAAUUUUAGUAGAAAAUUUUGGUUGGGGCGACUAAGGAACAAAAAAAGCUUCUUUUAUUAAAAAACACUGAUAAGUCUUGAUCCAGAAAAGUCUGAUUAAAAGAAUUAGUUACCGUAGGGAUAACAGCAUAAUCUUUUUUAAGAGCUCUUAUCGAAAAAAAGGUUUGUGACCUCGAUGUUGGACUAGGAUAUCCUAAUAGAUGCAGAAGUC
rnacentral:rRNA from 1 species